rnacentral:lncRNA from 1 species
UAUGUUACCAUAGCAACCACCCUAGCAACCUAUUUCCCAAACCUGUAAUGAUAAAUUAUUCCUAGGCAACAGUCAUAAUUUACAUUUAUCACUUUAGUAUAAUUGGUUGUGGAUGCAAAAGUGUAAAUUAUGUCAUGCAAAAUGCCUAUAAUUUGCCUCUUUGAAUGCAUUGAAAAUUCCACUAUUUGAAUCAGUGCUGCCCCCCUCUUCCCCUUUUGUCAGAAAUAAUUUUUAUCUUUCAUCUUACUCAUAAAGUGUUAUAUUUUAAUGAACAAUAGUCAAAAUAUUCAUAAAACUUGAAAUGUAUGCAUGAUAACUGCUUGAAAUGGGUCAUUUUUU